rnacentral:rRNA from 1 species
ACGAGGAGGGCUAACGUUGUUCGGAAUCACUGGGCUUAAAGGGCGCGUAGGCGGCCGUAUAUGUCGGGGUUGAAAUCCCUCAGCUCAACUGAGGAAUAGGCUUCGAAACUGUGCGGCUUGAGUGUAUCAGGGGUGUGCGGAACUCCAGGUGUAGCGGUGAAAUGCGUAGAUAUCUGGAGGAACGCCGGCGGCGAAAGCGGCACACUGGGGUAUUACUGACGCUGAGGCGCGAAAGCUAGGGGAGCAAACAG